GAUGAACGCUGGCGGCGUGCUUAACACAUGCAAGUCGAACGAUGAAGCCCAGCUUGCUGGGUGGAUUAGUGGCGAACGGGUGAGUAACACGUGAGUAACCUGCCCUUAACCCUGGGAUAAGCCUGGGAAACUGGGUCUAAUACCGGAUAGGAGCGUCCACCGCAUGGUGGGUGUUGGAAAGAUUUAUCGGUUUUGGAUGGACUCGCGGCCUAUCAGCUUGUUGGUGAGGUAAUGGCUCACCAAGGCGACGACGGGUAGCCGGCCUGAGAGGGUGACCGGCCACACUGGGACUGAGACACGGCCCAGACUCCUACGGGAGGCAGCAGUGGGGAAUAUUGCACAAUGGGCGCAAGCCUGAUGCAGCGACGCCGCGUGAGGGAUGACGGCCUUCGGGUUGUAAACCUCUUUCAGUAGGGAAGAAGCGAAAGUGACGGCACCUGCAGAAGAAGCACCGGCUAACUACGUG
rnacentral:rRNA from 1 species